UCGGCUUAGAGUUUGAUCAUGGCUCAGGAUGAACGCUGGCGGCGUGCCUAAUACAUGCAAGUCGAACGAAACUUCUUUAUCACCGAGUGCUUGCACUCACCGAUAAAGAGUUGAGUGGCGAACGGGUGAGUAACACGUGGGCAACCUGCCCAAAAGAGGGGGAUAACACUUGGAAACAGGUGCUAAUACCGCAUAACCAUAGUUACCGCAUGGUAACUAUGUAAAAGGUGACUAUGCUACCGCUUUUGGAUGGGCCCGCGGCGCAUUAGCUAGUUGGUGAGGUAAAGGCUUACCAAGGCGAUGAUGCGUAGCCGAACUGAGAGGUUGAUCGGCCACAUUGGGACUGAGACACGGCCCAAACUCCUACGGGAGGCAGCAGUAGGGAAUCUUCCACAAUGGGCGAAAGCCUGAUGGAGCAACGCCGCGUGGGUGAAGAAGGUCUUCGGAUCGUAAAACCCUGUUGUUAGAGAAGAAAGUGCGUGAGAGUAACUGUUCACGUUUCGACGGUAUCUAACCAGAAAGCCACGGCUAACUACGUGCCAGCAGCCGCGGUAAUACGUAGGUGGCAAGCGUUAUCCGGAUUUAUUGGGCGUAAAGGGAACGCAGGCGGUCUUUUAAGUCUGAUGUGAAAGCCUUCGGCUUAACCGGAGUAGUGCAUUGGAAACUGGGAGACUUGAGUGCAGAAGAGGAGAGUGGAACUCCAUGUGUAGCGGUGAAAUGCGUAGAUAUAUGGAAGAACACCAGUGGCGAAAGCGGCUCUCUGGUCUGUAACUGACGCUGAGGUUCGAAAGCGUGGGGAGCAAACAGGA
rnacentral:rRNA from 1 species